GCGAAACUUCAAGAACCUACAGUCCCUGGAAAUAUGUGGUGGAGGAUUGACUGAUGCUGGUGUGAAGAACAUUAAAGACCUUUCUUCCUUGAUGGUACUCAAUCUAUCACAAAAUGGCAAUCUGACUGAUAAAACCUUGGAACUAAUUUCAGGUUUAACAGGGUUGGUCUCUUUAAACAUUUCGAAUUCGAGAAUCACCUCUGCGGGACUGCGGCACCUGAAAACUCUGAAGAACCUAAAGCAGUUGACGCUGGAGGCUUGCCGGGUUUCGGCAAGUGACAUCAGAAAGCUUCAAUCUACAGACCUCCCGAAUCUGGUGAGCUUCCGCCCUGAGUAGCUGUGAAGAAGAUGUCCUGUGAUCCAACCUGCCAUAAAGGCAGUGUUGUAAAUAAUGAUAUCCAGGCAACAAGUUCUUAUCAAAUUGUGCAUAGUUUUGGAUUUGCUUCAGGCCAUGAGCUUUCAGAGACCAAGUGUUUUU
rnacentral:misc_RNA from 1 species